UUCUAUCACUUUGACUUAAGUUCAUAUUUUGGAAAUCUUAAUAAGGUCCUCACAUGUGGAAGGAAGAUUUAAACUGACUUCAAGAUAGAAAUAGCGUAUUUAAGCACAUAAAACUUCAGCAACUAAUUUUUCAAGUUAAAACCAUUGUCAAAUAUGUUCUAUUAAGGAUAGAGAAAUCACCCUAAAAUGUGCUAUGAAGACAGUUUCAACGCAACAUAGAAAGUGGGCAGCUCCUACUGUCUACAUACGUGAGAUGAAUUUAAUUUGAUCAUGAAAAUUAUAAAAGUGCUAAGGAUUGUGUCGAGCCUGAAACAAUUGGGUGCACCCAUGCCUGGGGCUGGCCUCACUUGGCUGCAAUCUUGAGAGAGCUAACAACAGCCUUGAAGGCCAGAGGCCUACAGGAAUUGUAAACCCCUGAGCCUAGCAACCAGUCAUGCAGGGGGCCUAAUCAUUUAACAGAAAAACUGCAAUAGGAAUGUGCUAUUAGACCUUUUAGCCAAAUGUGCCAGGUCUCCCCAAGCCUGAUAAAGUGACUGAAGUGUCCAUAGAAGCCACAUGCAGCUGAGCAUUACAAACAACUGGCCAGGGAGGCAGCCUACCAAACCUGAGCACCUGCAGCGAGAGCAACCCUGCCACAAAAGAAGAUCACAGUAGCCCACAGAGGGGAUACUCCUAGAACAUUUGAAACUGGUGAUGAGAAGGAAGCACACUGCUGGGCCUCAUAAGGCAUCUCUUACAUAAGGCCACCUCUCCAAUAUCAGGAGAUGUAGCUGACCUACCUUAUACAUAGAAAUAAGCACAGAGAAAGAGGUAAAAUGAGGAGACAAGGGAAUAGUUUCCAAAUAAGGGAACAGGACAAAACCCCAGAAAAAGAAUUAAGUGAAACAGAAAUAAACAAUCUACCUGACAAAGAGUUCAAGCAAAAAGUCAUAAGGAUGCUCAGUGAUCUUGGGAGAAGAAUGGAUGAACUCUGUGAGAAUUUCAAUAAAGAAUUAGAAAAUAUGAAAAAGAACCAGGGGCCCAGCCCUGUGGCCGAGUGGUUAAGUUUGUGCACUCUGCUUCAGCAGCCCAGUGUUUCACUGGUUCAGAUCCUCAGUGCGGACAUGGCAUCGCUCAUCAAGUCAUGCUGAGGCAGCAUCACAACCAGAGGCACUCACAACUAGAAUAUGCAACUAUGUACUGGGGGACUUUGGGGAGAAGAAGAAAAAGAGAAUAUUGGCAACAGAUUUUUUUAAAGAUUGGCACCUGAACCAAACAAAAAGAACCAAUCUGAAAUGAAGAAUACAAUACUGGAAAUGAAAAAUUCACUAGAGAGAAUCAAUAGCAGAGCAGAUGAUACAGAAGAACAGAUUAGUGAGCUGGAUGAAAGACAAGAGGAAAUCACCCAGGCUGAACAGAUAAAAGAAAAAAUAAUUGAAAAUAUGGGGACAGUCUAAGGGACCUCUGGGACAACAUCAAGCACACUAACAUUCAUAUUAUAGGUAUCCCAGAAGGAGAAGAGAGAGACAAAGGGCCAGAGAAUCUAAUUGAAGAAAUAAUAGCCAAGAACUUUCUUAACCUAAGGAAGGAAACAGACAUCCUAGUACAGGAACUACAGAGAGCACCAAACAAGAUAAACCCAAAGAGG
rnacentral:lncRNA from 1 species